AAAGUGAAACUUAGUGCCCCAGACAAGCAGGGGCAAGUCUGCUAAGGAAGCUGUGGCCAGAAGCACAGAUCAGAAACACGAUGGCUCUGUUAACAGCCGAAACUUUCCGCUUACAGUUUAACAACAGGCACCGCCUCAGAAGGCCUUACUACCCGAGGAAGGCCCUCUUGUGUUACCAGCUGACGCCGCAGAAUGGCUCCACGCCCACCAGAGGCUACUUUGAAAACAAGGUGCCACACGGGCUCUCUGGGCACAGGGCCGGCAGGGGCUAACCCCAUCUGAUGUGUGCAGAAAAUACAUGAAAUGCCUGCCUAUAAAUUUCUCAAUUUUUGAUUUAA
rnacentral:sRNA from 1 species